ensembl:snRNA LOC120099469 U1 spliceosomal RNA
AGACUCCCCUAGCAGGGAAGAUACCAUGAUUAUGAGGGUGGUUUUCUUGGAGCGAAGCUCAUUUAUUAAAUUCUGGAUGUACUGUUACCUAUGAUUUCCCCAAAUAUGGAAAACUUGACUGCAUAAUUUGUGGAAAUACAUGUU